GCGGGAAUAGCUCAUUUGGUAGAGCAUCAGCUUCCCAAGCUGAGGGUGGCCGGUUCGAGCCCGGUUUCCCGCUCCA
rnacentral:tRNA from 2 species